ensembl:lncRNA
GUUAGGGUUGGGGUUAAGACUAGGGUUAAAGUUAGGGUUGGGGUUAAGACUAGGGUUAAAGUUAGGGUUGAGGUUGGGGUCAGUUUGAGUGUUUUCCUUCAUUGGACUGCCAAUGUGUUGCACCCCAAUAUGCCUUAGUAACGGCUGAGCACACAGGUCUUCCUCGGUACCAAUUUGUUUGUGGGUUCUGGAAGUAACGUGCCCGAGGGAAGGGGCCCAUUUCAUUGUCAAACAAUCACCCACGUGAAUCACCAGUUUUCCUGUCUGGUAACUCCUCUAACAUCAAAUAAACUUAUUUUCUAAAUA